rnacentral:rRNA from 1 species
AAAGGAAUUGACGGGGCCGCACAAGCGGUGGAGCAUGUGGUUAAUUCAAAGCAACGCGAAGAACCUUACCAGGUCUUGACAUCCCGAUGCUAUUUCUAGAGAUAGAAGUUACUUCGGUACAUCGGUGACAGGUGGUGCAUGGUUGUCGUCAGCUCGUGUCGUGAGAUGUUGGGUUAAGUCCCGCAACGAGCGCAACCCCUAUUGUUAGUUGCCAUCAUUCAGUUGGGCACUCUAGCGAGACUGCCGGUAAUAAACCGGAGGAAGUGGGGAUGACGUCAAAUCAUCAUGCCCCUUAUGACCUGGGCUACACACGUGCUACAAUGGUUGGUACAACGAGUUGCGAGUCGGUGACGGCGAGCUAAUCUCUUAAAGCCAAUCUCAGUUCGGAUUGUAGACUGCAACUCGCCUACAUGAAGUCGGAAUCGCUAGUAAUCGCGGAUCAGCACGCCGCGGUGAAUACGUUCCCGGGCCUU